UAUAAUAUUUCCCUUUAACAUAUAAUUCAUUUUAAUAAUAAAAAUAAAAAAAAAUAUCUCAACUUAUAAAAUGACAACAUUGUCCACAAUUAUUAGGGUUUUCAAGCCCAGCCGUCCACCACUUCUCUUCCCCCUCCUCUGUCGCCACUGUCUUCAACCAUAAUCACGGCCACAGCCACUAUACAUCUGCUUGAUUGGUGAGAGCGCCGCAACCAACCGCACUCCCAAUGACCCACGCCAUGGCUUACUCAAUUAGGGUUCUCUAGUUCAUCUUUUUCCACUCACCCCUUCCUUCGAUUCUCUUGUUCAUUUCUUUCUCAUUCACUCUCUCGUUCUUCAGAGACUCUGGUUCAUACAAGAACCCUUCAAUCUUUCAUCCUGGUGAUUAUUUCGCUCGCCUCGAAGGGACUAGCGAUUAUUUGGUUGUUUAAGUUGAAAGAGGUGAGAGAGAGAGAACAAAAGGAACUUUGGUAGUCUCUAUUAGGGUUCUUAUAGUUGUGCGAUUUCAAGGGUUAGCCAUGUCUCCUCAAUCAUCAGGUAUCUAAUUCCUAUUAUUCUUUGCUGAUAUAUUAUUUGUUUAGGUUUUGCAUGCUUUCACAUCAAUUGGCAACUAACCUUUUUUUUAGCAUCAAAUUAAUUCUUUUUACUUUCUGUUAUUAUAUUGUUCUCAUUUGAUUUUAGGAUAAGUUGUAAAUGCAAAUUGGUUUUUUUUUCUUCCGUUAUUGGUAAGUUGUGAAUUAAAAUACUUUAAAAUAUUUAUAUUUCAACUUUCCAUAUAUUUCAGAAAUUCUCUUGCGUGGAUAAAAUUUUGUAAUUUUAAUAUAGGUUUGAUUCUUGCAAAAUGAGUAAUUGGAAUGGGGGGUUUUGGAAAAGAGUAGGUGGUUUUAUGUUGAUUUUUAUUUUCUGUUUCAUUUUUUUUUUUUUUUAAAGAAAGUUAAGGUUAUUUGCAAUUUGUGUUCAUUUUUUGUUUUAUUUUUUUAUUUAAAGAAAGUUUAAGGUUAUUUUCCAUCUCUCAAAUAUUGAUUUCGGUAUUGAAGUGAACAUCUUACUAGUGUGUGUGUAUAUAUAUGUGUGUGUCAGUGUGAGUGUAGAAUUUCCUCACUAAAUCUUGUGAAAUUUACAACAAAAUUUAUUGAUGUUAUCAUUGGUAGUAAGAAAUUGAUGUCUUGAAAUUGAAUUUUUAAAUUUUUUUUUUCAAUCUAAGUUCUAAUUUUAAUGCAAAAAAUCAACGUUACCCAACACAGCUAUGUUUCUAUAUUAUUAUGAUUUGUAUUAAAAAGUCAUUGAAAGGCUCAUAUAACAACCUAUGGAUCAUCUUCUUCUUCAUUGCCCCGUGGCUAAGGAAUGUUGGGACUUGAUGCUUUGUUUGUUUGGGUUCUAUUGGGUUAUGCCUCGCUCCUCUAGACAGAUGGUUGAGGCUUGGAGAGGGUUCUCUGUAGGGGCCCAUGCUCGUGAUGCUUGGAGGGCUACGCCUCUUUGUGUGUGGUGGUGCAUCUGGCUGGAGAGGAAUAAAAGAUAUUUUGAGAGAAAGGAGAGGCCUAUUUCUUUUCUUAAGUUCUCUAUUCUUUCCACUCUUUUUUGUUAGGUUUCGGGUAGAGAUUUUAGAUCUUGUGAGGAUAUUGUUGUUUUCUUGGUCUCUUUGAAGGCUUAAAGGGUUGUUUUGGCCCUGUGUUUGUUCUCUUGGGAUGCGUUUUCCUUUUGAACGCCUUCAAUGCAUUUUUUACUUAUCAAAAACAAAAACAUCCUAUGGAGCACUUAUUUUAGAAAGUGAGUGUUCUAAAGAGGUCCACACCACCAGGAAAAAAAAUAUAUUGUCAGGAGAUAUAAAGAGAACACAUAUAUAUAUAUAGAGAGAGAGAGAGAGAGAGAGUGGAAUAGUACUAUUGGCUGAAAUUUUGAAAUUAUAUAUCUGCAAUUGAACCUUUUGAGUAAUACAGGGCAGCAAAAGAGUAGAAUAAAGGCUGUUAUAAUAAUGAUAAGAGUAAAUGUAUGCACCAAUACAUUAAUUUCUUGCGCAGCUGUGCUCAAAUCAAAUGCACUUACAACGUUGACAUCAUCAACUAUGUACGUAGUACAUAUAGCUCUCAAUCCCUGUCUCUCUCUCUUCGUAUAGCUCUGGUUGUGAUUAUUGGUUUUCUGAUAACCUGCUUUGAAUUCAAAGAGAUAGUGUAAUUGAGGAGAGAGAAGUUUGUUGAGCAACAACUUUAUUUAAGACACAACAUUUAUGGAGAGAGAGAGAAAAUAAACUUAAACACAUAUUUAAGCUAGCAGCAACCAUACUUUAUUUAAGGAGAGGGAUCGAAAUUCUUCAAGUUCAGUGGGAGAGAUAUACCUUAGCCUCGCUGCAAUAUGCCAGCUAGCUUGUAACGAGGUUUUAGCUGAUAUAAAAUCACUCCCACUAUAACUACAUUAAAUGCAUGGAUAUUCUGAAUUAUAAAUGGAGAUAAUAAUUAAAUAUAAUUAAUUAUGUAAGUAUAAGCUGUCUUUCCUUGUCUUUUUCACUUUACUGUGUUAAUAUAUAUAUAUAUAUAUAGAGAGAGAGAGAGAGGGGGGGGAACAGUGCCAUCCAAUUCUAGUGGAUGCCAUUUUAAACUUUUAUAUUUGUAAUAUUAUUGCUCCACCAAUCACGUAUUGUUACAUAAAUAAAAAUUAAAAUAAAUUUGACACAAUUAUCAAAAAAAAAAAACUUCUUUUUGUUACCAUGUACACCACAAAAUGAUAUCUUUGCAAAAAAAAAAAAAAAACUUCUUUUUGUUGUGUAUGCCAUAUUGGAUAACGUAUUUAAAAGUGUGAUUAAUUGAUUAUCAAUUUAUUAUAGUGUGCCAUUACAUUUAUUAGUAUUCUUAUUGAUUAGUAUUCUCAACACUCUCUUUCUUAUUGCUGCUGUUGUGAUUAUUGAUUUUUUGAUAACCUGCAUGCUUUGAAUUCAAAGAGAGACUGUAAUUGAGAAAGUAGAGAAGUUUGUUGAGCAACCAUAAUUUAUUUAAGGCACAACAACAUUUAUGGAGAGAGAGAAUAAACUUAAAAGACAUAUUUAAGCAGCAUUAAAGAAUAAUUAUAUAAGAUUGUUAGAGUAGAUUUUUAGAUUGUCAACAAAUCUUAUAUUUAUGGAAUUAUUGUUUUUAGAAGCUUUUAGUGCAUAUAUUAUUUGUAAUAUUUGGAUGUACGUUUGUAAGAUAUGAAUUUUUAAAGUUCGAAAAAAUUAAGAUUUAAAUAAAAUGACAUUUUGAUCCAAAUUACAAGUCUAUGGGGGGAUAUUUGUACUUUGCCCAUUUUAUUGUCCCAGGCAAAUUACCUUAAGAAUAUGACACGUAUUAAUCAAAGUGAGAUACAAACCUUGCAUGCAUGUUGAGGGCAAGGCAUAAACUCGUGAGUGUAGUUAAUCCACUUAUCCUAAUUGGUUAAGAUUCCUAAAAUUAAUUAAAUGUCUCCUAUCAUUACGAGACAUUUAAAAUAUAAAUUUAUAGGACAAAAGUGUCAUUUUAACUUUUUUUUCUCUCCUAAAUUGAUUCAUAUACAUAUGUAAACACGUGUGUAUUAAUAUAUCAAUAACAUUCUCGUAAUGAAUUAUGAUUAUUUUCUCUCUCUCUCUCUCUCUCUCCAUAUAUAUAUAUUUAUGGAUUCUUUUCUUUCUUUUUUUAUUUGUCUUUAGCUAUAUGCCAAAUGUUUAUAUAAUUACUAUAUAUGUAUAGUAAGCUAUAUACACGUAGAUGUAUACUAUGAGGAGAGAGAAAGAAAAAAAAAAAAAAAAAAAGAAAAAAAGAAGAAGAAGAAAAAAGGUGUUUAUAUAUAUACAUGCUCUACAAGUGAAGAGAGAAUAAAUAAUUAAAAUGAUAUUUUUGUAGUAUAAUUUUAUAUUUUAAAUGUCUCAGGAGACAUUUAAUUAAUGAGAAAUGAUUCUUGCACCGAAUAGUUGCAAUGAGUUGCUGGAUCUACUAUUUUAAUUGGUCAAUUAUGUAACAAAUAAAGAAGUUGAACCCUCCACUUAUUUGUAUUUGGUAUAAGUACGAAUUAAAAAUUAUUCGGUUAGACAAUUCAUAGGUCUAAUUCAUAGUAAGCGUUCGGUGUAACAAAUAAGGAAGUGGAACCCUUCAUUUACUUGUAUUUGGUAUAAAUAAUCAAUUAAUAAUUAUUCGGUUAGGUUUGGUGUAACAAAUAAGGAAGUAGAACACUCCAUAUAUUUGUUUUUGGUAUAAAUAACUAAUUAAAAAUGAUUCGGUUAGGCAAUUUAUUGUAAGUGUUCGGUGUGAGUAUCACUAUUCUUAAUUAAGAGUAAUAAUACUUGCACCGUUCGGCGUUCGGCUAUGUCUCUCUAUAACAAAGAAAAAAAGUAUAUCAUAAAGUGCUAAUCACUUAAUCAUCCAUGCAAUUUUUUGAAUCUAUAUAAUAAUAAAGUCAGUGGAAUUCAGGAUGCUUAGAAAAUAAUUCAUUUUGUUCCAUGUCUGCAUAGUUUAACAAUGUUGAACCACUACGUUAGAGUUUUUGUAAAUGAAAUGUAAACAUAAAGGUGAAGAAUAUUACACGCAUGAAAAUAUAGGUCAAUUAUUUGAAAAAAUAUUAUUGUGUAAAUACAACUAUUGCUUAUACACAUGUUAAUCAUAUAUUUUUUUUAAACCCACCUGGAAUGGAAGAGAUGGCGCUAAUAAAGAAAAAGACAAGAACCAAAGUAUGCAAUCAAGAAUAAGAGAAGUAGGUCAUAAAACUCUUCCUUAUAUUAUUGCGUUUAAAAAAUUCAAACAUUAUUUAAUCUAGGAUAUAAAUUAAAAAUAUUUUAACAAAAAAUUUAAGCUCAGAAGGGCCACAAAAAGACUGGGUCAUCGAGUUUGUAAUCCUGAUCAGAUCCAUGGCUGGGAUGUAAAACCUGUGCAAUUCCAGCUAACAACAUCCGAUGGUCAACAUGAGGCUUGAAUCAAGCUUUGAAAGCUUGGGAAAAAGAAAAGAAAAAAGAAAAUAAAGGGGGGAGGAGAGAGCUGCAGGGAAGAGAGAGAUAGAGAGAGAAAAGUGAGAAAAUUGAACAAUUCAUAUGAUUAGUAAUCCAACACCGACCAAAUAAUUCUAGUGCAUUAGAAACUUAAAAUUGAACAAAGGAGGUAUUAGAAAUUUAAAACUGGACAAAAGAGGUGUUACACUAUGUAAAAGAUUAUCCAAAUAUAUCAUUCGAAUUGCAUGGGGUUUUUCCAAAUAGAUUAUUCGGUGCUCCUUUUCUAAAUAGAUCAUCCCAAAUGGGUGCGGUUUUCCCAAAUAGAUUAUUCGAACUGGAUGCGAUUUUUUUUGGGGUAUCAAAUUCCUAUAAAAUGCAUCAAAUUAAUUAGCCACACACACACACACACACAUAUAUAUACAUAUACAUAUAUAUAUAUAUAUGUAGAGAGAGUAUGUUAAAAUAUACCGAAAAGAUAAUUUCUCCGCUUUCUUUAACUAUUUGACGGCACACGCCUCCCUCAUAGUUGUAUAGUUGUAUUUCAGUCUAUUUCCUGCUGGUACAGAAGAGCCAUGGAAGCUAGAAGCCAUACUCCCGUUUCCUGCUGGUACAAAAGAACCAUGGAAGCCAGAAGCCAUAUUAACAGAAUUGGUAAAACAGAAGAAAAACUUGAGAAAAAGAAAAGAAAAAAGAAAAUAAAGAGGGGCGGAGAGAAUUGUCGGGA